GGCAAGGUGGCCGAGUGGUUAAGGCGACGGACUCAAGAUUUCCAUCUUAACUGUUAUCUAUAACAGGGAUUUUUCCGUUAGGGCAACCUGCGCGGGUUCAAAUCCCGUCCUUGUCA